rnacentral:rRNA from 1 species
GAUGAACGCUGGCGGCGUGCCUAAUACAUGCAAGUCGAGCGAACAGAUAAGGAGCUUGCUCCUUUGACUGUAGCGGCGGACGGGUGAGUAACACGUGGGUAACCUACCUAUAAGACUGGAAUAACUCCGGGAAACCGGGGCUAAUGCCGGAUAACAUUUAGAACCGCAUGGUUCUAAAGUGAAAGAUGGUUUUGCUAUCACUUAUAGAUGGACCCGCGCCGUAUUAGCUAGUUGGUAAGGUAACGGCUUACCAAGGCAACGAUACGUAGCCGACCUGAGAGGGUGAUCGGCCACACUGGAACUGAGACACGGUCCAGACUACUACGGGAGGCAGCAGUAGGGAAUCUUCCGCAAUGGGAGAAAGCCUGACGGAGCAACGCCGAGUGAGUGAUGAAGGUCUUCGGAUCGUAAAACUAUGUUAUUAGGGAAGAACAAAUGUGUAAGUAACUGUGCACGUCUUGAAGGUACCUAAUCAGAAAGCCACGGCUAACUCCGUG